GUCCUAGUAGCUCAGUGGAUAGAGCGACCGCCUCCUAAGCGGUAGGUCGGAGGUUCAACUCCUCUCUGGGACA
rnacentral:tRNA from 1 species